rnacentral:rRNA from 1 species
AUUGAACGCUAGCGGCAUGCCUUACACAUGCAAGUCGAGCGACCGGCGGACGGGUGAGUUAUGUAUGGGGACUGCCCGCUAGAGGGGACUAACUACUGGAAAAGGUAGCUCAUACCGCCUAUUAUCGGAUAACCCAUAUGGGAUUAGCUGGUAGGUGGGGUAAUGGCUCACCUAGGCGACGAUCCCUAGCUGGUUUGGGAGGAUGAUCAGCAACACUGGGACUGAGACACGGCCCAGACGCCUACGGAGGCAGCAGUGGGGAAUAUUGGACAAUGGGGGCAAGCCUGAUGCAGCCAUGCCGCGUGUAUGAUGAAGGCCCUAGGGUUGUAAAGAACUUUCGGGCGGAAGGCGUUACCGGCAGAAGAAGUACCGGCUAACUCCGUGCCAGCCGCCGCGGUAAUUC